GCGUGAGGAGACUCGGCGGCCAGAGCCGUCACCCCGGGCGGGGACGCUGCGCAGGCGACUACGCGCGGCGGCCCGGCCGAGGGAGGGAGCGAGCGGGCGGGCGGCGGCGGCUGGCGCCCGAGGGGCCGAGCGAGCUCCUUAGAGAUGACCAGCUUUCAACGAGGAUGAACAGAUGACCUGGUUUUAUCAGAAAUUGCUUUCACGUUGCCAUGCCUUUCACAAAAGCCAGUCUUCACCGUCUCUGUCUGAUUUUGUUGAGAUUGAAACCAUGGCUGUGUGGAUACAAGCCCAGCAACUCCAAGGUGAUGCUCUUCAUCAGAUGCAAGCAUUGUAUGGUCAGCAUUUCCCCAUUGAGGUGCGACAUUAUUUAUCCCAGUGGAUCGAAAGCCAAGCUUGGGACUCAAUAGAUCUUGAUAAUCCACAGGAGAACAUUAAGGCCACCCAGCUCCUGGAGGGCCUGGUGCAGGAGCUGCAGAAGAAGGCGGAGCACCAAGUCGGGGAAGAUGGGUUCUUACUGAAGAUCAAGCUGGGGCACUAUGCCACGCAGCUCCAGAACACGUAUGACCGCUGUCCCAUGGAGCUGGUCCGCUGCAUCCGACAUAUUCUGUACAAUGAACAGAGGCUGGUGCGAGAAGCCAACAAUGGUACUUCUCCAGUUGGAAGUCUUGUUGACACCAUGUCCCAGAAACACCUCCAGAUCAACCAGACGUUUGAGGAGCUGCGACUGGUCACACAGGACACAGAGAACGAACUGAAGAAGCUUCAGCAGACUCAAGAGUAUUUUAUCAUCCAAUAUCAGGAGAGCCUGAGGAUCCAGGCUCAGUUUGGCGGGCUGGCCCAGCUGAGUCCCCAGGAGCGGCUGAGCCGGGAGACGGCCCUGCAGCAGAAGCAGGUGUCCCUGGAGGCCUGGCUGCAGCGCGAGGCCCAGACACUGCAGCAGUACCGCGUGGAGCUGGCCGAGAAGCACCAGAAGACCCUGCAGCUGCUGCGGAAGCAGCAGACCAUCAUUCUGGACGACGAGCUGAUCCAGUGGAAGCGGCGGCAGCAGCUGGCCGGGAACGGAGGGCCCCCCGAGGGCAGCCUGGACGUGCUGCAGUCCUGGUGUGAGAAGUUGGCCGAGAUCAUCUGGCAGAACCGGCAGCAGAUCCGCAGGGCUGAGCACCUCUGUCAGCAGCUGCCCAUCCCCGGCCCAGUGGAAGAGAUGCUGGCUGAGGUCAAUGCCACCAUCACAGACAUCAUCUCAGCCCUGGUGACCAGUACCUUCAUCAUUGAGAAGCAGCCCCCUCAGGUCCUGAAGACCCAGACCAAGUUUGCAGCGACGGUGCGCCUGCUGGUGGGUGGGAAGCUGAACGUGCACAUGAACCCCCCCCAGGUGAAGGCCACCAUCAUCAGCGAGCAGCAGGCCAAGUCGCUGCUCAAGAACGAGAACACCCGCAAUGACUACAGUGGCGAAAUCCUGAACAACUGCUGUGUGAUGGAGUAUCACCAGGCCACCUGCACCCUCAGCGCGCACUUCCGGAACAUGUCCCUGAAACGAAUUAAGAGGUCAGACCGUCGUGGAGCAGAGUCAGUGACAGAAGAAAAAUUUACAAUCCUGUUUGAAUCACAGUUCAGUGUUGGUGGAAAUGAGCUGGUUUUUCAAGUCAAGACCCUGUCCCUCCCGGUGGUGGUGAUCGUCCAUGGUAGCCAGGACAACAAUGCGACGGCCACCGUUCUCUGGGACAAUGCUUUUGCAGAGCCUGGCAGGGUGCCCUUCGCCGUGCCCGACAAAGUGCUGUGGCCGCAGCUGUGUGAGGCGCUCAACAUGAAAUUCAAGGCCGAAGUGCAGAGCAACCGGGGCCUGACCAAGGAGAACCUCGUGUUCUUGGCUCAGAAGCUGUUCAACAACAGCAGUGGCCACCUUGAAGACUAUAAUGGCAUGUCCGUGUCCUGGUCCCAGUUCAACAGGGAGAAUUUACCAGGACGAAAUUACACGUUCUGGCAGUGGUUCGAUGGUGUGAUGGAAGUGUUAAAAAAACAUCUCAAGCCUCAUUGGAAUGAUGGGGCUAUUUUGGGUUUCGUGAACAAGCAACAGGCCCAUGACCUACUCAUUAACAAGCCUGAUGGGACCUUCCUGCUGAGAUUCAGCGACUCUGAAAUUGGCGGCAUCACCAUUGCUUGGAAGUUUGAUUCUCAGGAAAGAAUGUUUUGGAACCUGAUGCCUUUUACCACCAGAGAUUUCUCCAUCCGAUCCCUGGCCGAUCGCUUGGGGGACCUGAAUUACCUUAUCUACGUGUUUCCUGAUCGGCCAAAAGAUGAAGUGUACUCCAAAUAUUACACACCAGUUCCAUGCGAGCCUGCCACUGGUAACAAUCUAAAGCAGUGGACGGAUACGUGAAGCCACAGAUCAAGCAAGUGGUCCCUGAGUUUGUGAGUGCGUCUGCAGACUCUGCCGGGGCCGGCGCCACCUACAUGGACCAGGCCCCUUCCCCAGCCGUGUGCCCCCAGGCUCAUUAUAACAUGUAUCCUCAGAACCCUGACCCUGUCCUUGACAACGAUGGGGACUUUGAUCUGGACGACACCAUGGAUGUGGCACGCCGUGUGGAGGAGCUCCUAGGCCGACCUAUGGACAGUCAGUGGAUCCCUCACGCGCAGUCGUGACCCCCCGUUCUCCAUCUUCAGCUUCUUCAUCCUCGCCAGAGGAGUUACUCUUGUGGAUGUUUUAAUUCCAUGAAUCGCUUCUCUUUGGAAACAAUAGUCAUAAUGUGAAGUGUUAAUACUAGUUGUGACUUUAGUGUUUCUGUGCAUGGUGGCACCAGUGAAGGGAGUGUGUGUGAGUGUGUGUGUGUGUGUGAGUGUGUGUGUGUGAGUGCGCGCGCGCACGCGAGUGUGUGAGUUUACACAUUGGGCUGUUUCUCCCCCUUGCUGUGCAGAGUUUAGUCGCAGCAUUGGAGCCACAAACAGAGGCUGUGGUUGUUUUAACCUUGUGAAAAAAGGCAGUAGUUCCGUGAACCCUGGAACUUGGCCAUGUGUCUGUUCAAGUAAGAGAAGGACAAAGGGAGGAGAAAGCACCUCCGCUCCGUGAGAUUUGUCACUGUGUCUGCCAAGCAAUUGAUAUAUAACCGUGACUGUCUCUGCUUUCCUUUGAAUUGUAGAAACUGCCUUUUGAAAAAGAAAGCCGUCCUCCCACCUUCCCUCUCCCCCGCCCCUGUUUUCCUGGAUAGGGAUGGGUAAAGGGGGAAUAUCUGGUGAUUGUUGGGACAAGGGAAGUCGUGGGUUGUCCGAUGGGUAGUGGCUUUUUAAAUAACCCUUAACCCAUCUAACCCAUCUGCGUGUCCUCUCCCGCCCCCCUCCUUCCUUCCACUCCGUGGAAUUGCCACUCAGCUCUCCGUGUGUAAGCGCGUGCAGACACGUGUGAUGAACCGGAGAAGAGGGUCACAUACCCACAGCUUACUGUGUUGAUGUCCUUUCUAUCACGGCCAGAGUGGAAGGCCCAGCCGAGACCCAUGGGUGCUAAGGAAGUUGCCUUGCUCCCUGGGGCACCUGCCCUCCGGGCUGCCCAUCCUUCUGCUCAAGUGCGGCUACCCCACGGCUCAUUGAUGAUGGCUGUUUGCACAUGGUGGUGUUUUGUUUCUAAAUUGAGACUUCUUGUUUUCCUCUUCCCACCCUCAUCUGAUAUCACAGUUCUUUCUUCCUGUGGCAGGUCCUGUGUCGUUCAUACCCAAGUCACCUCGCUUCCCUUCACUGUUCACACAGGCUGUCUUGGGGAGGGGGUGGCAGGAACACAGUCUGAACCCAGGGCCAGCAUGUUCCACGAGGUCAUUGCCCACUUGGUAUGGGCUGCCGGGUGUUGGGCAUUGGUCCUUUGGGGAAAUGCAGUCAGUGGGUUUCCUGGGAAGUUUGGUAAGCUGCAAAAACAAAACAAAACAGCUUCAGUAUAAUGUCCACAGUUUCUUCCGUAGCUUUACAUCAGAUGGAAGGAAUGGGCUGUGGCAGUCAGGUGGGAAGAGGGGCAGCAGAUACAGCUUUUGGGGUAGGCCUAUAAUCCACUCAGCCCUGGCCCCCUCUCCAACAAUGACUGCACCCAGGAGAGAAUGGCCCUAAAAACCUUAUUUUUAUACAUGUGAGUAAAUAAACAGAUAUUUUUUUUACAAAAAUGACUUCCGAAUUCAUCAGUGCUUUGAUGUUAAAGGAAAAUAUUCCUCUGUAGUAAAUUAUUUAUUGGAAGAUGACUUUUUAAAAGCUGCUGUUUGCCCUGGCUUGGUUUCAUACACUGAUUUAUUUUUCUAUGCCAGGCAGUAGAAUCUCUCUGCCUCUGAGGAGCAGGCCGACCCCUCCAUGAUACCAGCAUUGACAUAGGAUGCGGCUAAGCCCUUUAAGCCCUAAGCCCUCAAGAUUUGAUUAAAAUUCCACCCGUGAGGAUCAGAGCAGUGGGGAAAGGGGAAAAGGAAGCCGGACUGCUCUCGGACUCUCACCUGCCUGUCCCUCAGGCUUCACCAACGCUGGCCUGUGAGUGCCGUGCUGGGAGUUUAGCAGCCCUGACGGGCAGGGACUGCCACACCGUCAGCCCCAUAGCAGACCCAGCCCCCAGGGAUGCUGAGGGCAGAGCUUGCCCUUUACAGUUAGCACUGGGGUUGCCGGUACUGAAAAGUGGCUGCCCUGAGUGUAGGGGUCCCGUGCUUGUACAGUUGCUGAGCUGUCCUCAGUUUCCCUGAGGCUGUGCCUAUAGAUGGGAGAGAUUUUUGAUUGAAAGGUGUGCUCGCUAUCUGCGUUAUAUUUUCUCUUUUCUCCCUGUUCCUGCAAAUCACAAAAGAGGCAGUGGCAAGUCUUGACCACCUGCCUCUCACUUGCUCCCAGACACACACACACACACACACACACACACACACACACACACACACACACACACACGUCAUCAAAAUGUUUCGAUGUGUGGUAUGUGCAGGGUUUUGUAGGGGGGUGGGGAGACUAAAAGUGAAUAUAACAAAGUGGAAGUAUACUUUUUAUAAUUUUUCUUUUUAAAACUUCGUGAAAUUAUUUCAGAUACAUAUUUUAGUGUUGAGGCAGAUUAGUAUAUAGCCACCAAAAAAGUAUUGUGUACAAUUUGGGGCAGUCACAAAAUUGUGUAUUUUAUGUUACAAUAAAGGCUUCCUCUGAA